rnacentral:rRNA from 1 species
UACGUAGGGUGCAAGCGUUAAUCGGAAUUACUGGGCGUAAAGCGUGCGCAGGCGGUUUUGUAAGUCAGAUGUGAAAUCCCCGGGCUUAACCUGGGAACUGCGUUUGAAACUACAAGGCUAGAGUGUGGCAGAGGGGGGUGGAAUUCCACGUGUAGCAGUGAAAUGCGUAGAGAUGUGGAGGAACACCGAUGGACGAAGGCAGCCCCCUGGGUUAACACUGACGCUCAGGCACGAAAGCGUGGGGAGCAAACAGG